GUAAGAGGAUGUGAUAAGAAAAUUGUUCAGUUGUUUUCUGCUCGUACAAUUUAUGCCCAGUUUCUUCUAUUUAUCUUGUGAUAAUGUGACUUGGAAAGUAUAAAUGUUAUCAUUUCCUUUUAAUUCAACAUUCAAGUCAUCCUUCCUUGCAGAUAACGGAAACCUCCAUAGGUCAAGCACUAUGCCGGGGGUGAUCAAGGAUACUGAGAUAACUACUGAAACUACGGGUCCAUCAAAUCUGUAAAGGUCAAAAACUGAGAGGCGCAAACAAAGUAACCCAGCUGAUGAUCCUGCUAAAUAGUUAUUG
rnacentral:lncRNA from 1 species